rnacentral:RNase_P_RNA from 1 species
CAGUGCGGUGAGGCGGCCGCGUAUCGGCGUUCGCUGAUCCGAGGAAAGUCCGAGCACGGGAGGACACGGUGGUGGGUAACGCCCACCCGCCCGGAGGCCACGGGCGCGGGACAGUGCCACAGAGAACAGACCGCCGAUGGCCCGCGAGGGAUCAGGCAAGGGUGAAACGGUGGGGUAAGAGCCCACCGCCCCGACGGUGACGUCGGGGGCACGGCAAACCCCACCGCGUGCAAGGUCAAGCAGCCCCCGGAGUGGCGUGCCACUCCCGAUCGGUCCGGUCGUCGCGGGGCGGGUAGACCGCUGGAGCCCCGGGGCAACCCUGGGCGGAGAGAAAUGGCCGUCACGCACGGCAGGUCCGCGGAAGCGGAUACCACCGGUGCGACAGAACUCGGCUUACCAGCCGCACGGGCCU